AAUCAACGCUGGCGGCGUGCCUCAGACAUGCAAGUCGAACGACUAAAGCUCCCUUCGGGGAGUGCAUAAAGUGGCGCACGGGUGAGUAACACGUAAGUAAUCUACCCUCGAGUGGGGAAUAACGUCCGGAAACGGACGCUAAUACCGCAUAAUGCAGCGGCACCGCAAGGUGACAGUUGUUAAAGAUUUAUCGCUUGAGGAGGAGCUUGCGGCAGAUUAGCUAGUUGGUAAGGUAAUGGCUUACCAAGGCCGCGAUCUGUAACCGGUCUAAGAGGACGGUCGGUCACACUGACACUGAAUAACGGGUCAGACUCCUACGGGAGGCAGCAGUCGGGAAUUUUGGGCAAUGGGCGAAAGCCUGACCCAGCAACGCCGCGUGAAGGAUGAAGUAUUUCGGUAUGUAAACUUCGAAAGAAUGGGAGGAAUAAAUGACGGUACCAUUUAUAAGCUCCGGCUAACUACGUGCCAGCCGCCGCGGUAAAAC
rnacentral:rRNA from 1 species